UGUUUUGAAGCUAGCGUGACAUGUUUACAUCACACAUACACACACGAGGGGUCGCACGUGCGCGAAGGAUAUUAACAUACUUUAAAAGGAUGCUAUUAGCAAGUUAAUGGAAAAGCAAUACCUUUAAAACAAAACUAUCGGAAGAUUGCAAAACUCGCUGGCUGGCGGCUGUGUGUCGUUGGUACAGUGGCUUGUCUCGCUUCUUGCAUCUGCUCAGAUUACCAUACUCGCUGCGAGUAGGCAAAGUGCGUCUGCUAGUGUGUAUAUGUGUCCAUGCCUUCUCGCCUCAAGCGCAUCCGUGGAUGGAAACUAAUACGGCACCCAAAUCGCAAGCUAAUUGAACCUGACUUCCAAGGUAUCGCGUCGUCGGUGGAAAAUAAAGAGCGCGCAAAAACCUUGCCAUUCUACUCCGCUGGGAACUGAACUUGGACCGGAUACGGUGCGCUUCGGUGGGAAGACACCACGGUUGGCCCGCCAAACAAGCCGAACAAUCACACCGAGGACAUCCACCGCGGAAUGUCACAAUGGCCACAAGGCGUCUCAAGGCGAUGGGUAUGUCUUCUCGUUCAGGGCCAAAGCACGCCGACUUGCAGUCGCUCUUACGAACUGGUGUUCUAGCGCGAGAGUUCACUAGGCGCCACCAAAAACACUCUCAGCCUCGAUUGACCAUUGAAAAUCGCCUCACCUCCGACCCGUCCCGGGCCAGUCCCCGUACCGAGGCGGCUUCAGUCAAGCGUGAUCAAAUCUGGGGAGGUUCCGGUGUCAUCGGUGAAGAGCGAUCGAUCGUUCGUCCACAACAUGAAAUCUCCACCACAUCCGGCACGAUUUGGCGUUAGAUUUGCGAGUCAAGGUUCGGGAGUUCCCGGGGGCCUAGACGGGAGGGGGGCGCAGUGUGUGCAGGAGAAUUGAAUUGAUUCUCUCUAUUGUUUUGCCCUUCGCCAAUUGUGCAUGGUGUUGUUUGCAGUGCACUCUCGUUUCAAUUAGACUGCACGGGUAAGGUCUUUCGAUGCGGUACGAUCACGAGCACCAAUACAUUGGAAUGGGCUGGGUGCAUAUCCGCUGUUUCGUUUGGUCUAGGAAUCACCCUCAUAUGCAUAAUGGAAAUCUCUUCGAGCAGACGUGGCACUGUGAUCGUUGCGCAAUACAGGCAGCCAUUGUCACAUUGUAUUAAAGCAUAAGCUCUCUCUCCAACAUAUGCUUAUGCACCGCUUAUGUUACGAGCGUUCGAUUUGGACCUUAAAGUGCAUCAUAAAUCACGCUCAUAAUCAGUCUAACAAUAACCGGCACCACGAGGAACUAUGGUCGGUUUUGGGAAACGCUUUUCAUAAAUCAUACCCACAAUCACCAGCCCUCCGCAGCAGCAGGUUGGAUUUUCUUCCGGUAGUUCACCACUGUGACCGUACGGUGGCCGGAAGUAUUGGUUCCGGCAUGUGUGUGUGUGUGUGUGUAUGCCCUCUAUCGUGAUGUCGUGAUUCAUGCCUUCCGUUAAACAACCGUAAGCUCCUUUACGCCACCUUACCGGGCGUAACGAAAGCCAGCCCAAACAUCAAACCCACCCCCCCCUCCGUACUCAAUCGAAAUCGAUGCUCAUUUGCAUAGUCUUCUAUCAAAAAAGGGUAGGCCUUAGGGUGGCGGGGACCACUGCAGUAGUGGGAAGCAACAUUGAGCACCGAGCAGUGCAGUACUUCUGGCUGCCCUACUCAGGGAAACACAUCACGUCACUUGAGCCCCCCGGUGAAAGAUCACUAUCGAGCACAUACAGACACACACACACACACGCUCAUGAAAACCACUACCUUCUCGACGAUGCCCCGAUUGCCAUCGCCCAGAAGAGUGCACUGCGUGGUGCGUGUUCUAGCGACCGAACCAUUCCACCGAACAGUUUGGCUUCACAGCCUGAUUUCCCAGUUCUCUGGACAGGUUCUCUUCAGUUGCGGGUGGUGGGCAGGAGACACAUAUAUCGUGUACGUUAGAUCAUCGUUUGAAUGCAUAAUUAGCAGCAAGACGGGUGUGGUGUAUGCGUAUGUGUCUGUGCCACACCGUGCACAUGCCGGCAAAGAAGAUGCAUACUUCGCAGGUUAAGCAUUACGAAAUAUGGGACCUCAGUCGCCGUGCCCGAUGACGCCGUCGAUGAUGAGGCCACCACCACCACCACUUGAACCUUACGGCACGCGGCACACAACACACAGUCGCGACCGCAUUCGGUAGUCGUCUCUCGGCGAGAAGAAUGGUGAGAAUGUGACUCGCUGGCAAUGAAGGUUCUUUUCCAAGCAGCCUUGGCUCUUCUUGAAACCACUCAGAGCUCUUCCCGUCCAAACAAUGCAUUCGGGUCACUUUUUCGGUCAGAUGCAUUCUUGGCUACACGUUUGUUUUUUAUGUGAGUGGCUGGAGAGGUUCUGCAUACAGUUGAUUUAUUCAAAAAACAUCCCGCAAGUCUUCUACUUCGGACUUGCAAGAGUUUAUUUUUCGUAACACUUACAGCGAGCUGGCGUCAGCUCAAGUUCUGGCUCGUAAACAUCUUCCCCCAAGGACCCGAUGCCCACCCGAGGAUCCAGAGCUAAUUCAAAAGGUUGUCCCCACUACAGCAGGCGACGCUUGAAUGUCAAGAACGUGGCAGCUGUUUAGUAAGGGAGGAGAGAAGAAAAAAAUAGCCAUACAGCCGGGAAACGGAUCCACCGCCGGGCGAAUCGAGAAAGGUCGACGUUUGGGCACGGCUGCGAGACUCUCCGAGCUAGAAGUCUCGAGAGCUCGAGGUUGAAUUUCUGAUCUUGAUCGAGUCGCGGCGCAUUAGUGAGCGAACACCGAUUUUGAGGAUCGUCGAGGUUUGUUUUUUAAGGGUGUGUGAGUUCGAUCGAUUGACAUUCACGGGGCAAUGGAUGUCGAUUUGUUUCGACAGCUGUUCAGUUUCGUUAGGAUUGCUAGUCGAACUGUGUUUUUUUUUUCUAACAGUUUCGUUGAAAUGCUGAUUGUGUCAAUUGGGUUUUAUUUGGUUUAUCGAUGAAUCGUCAACCCUUAAAUGUCAAGAGUGCUGUGCAAAAAGUAACAUCUCUUUUCAAUCGUUUGUGGAGCAUGUUGCG